AGGGACGCCCCCACAGGUAGACGAAGAGGGUCCAGAGAAAGGUGGGGAUUCCCUAACCCCUUCUUUCUUGGCACAGACAGGCAGAGAACACCUCUUUUCUCACCCCUGGGCAGCCCCAGGAAGUCAAUCCUUCCACUAUUCCUGCUCCGUGCCUCUCUUCCCUCUGCCCAGAUUCCUGGGAGACUCAAAACCCUGUUCAACUCUCUCUGGGCUAGCUGCUCCCCUCCCCAAGAGGAUUUCUCUCCAGAGCUGGUAUCAUCGCUUAAUGAUGUUCCACCAACAAGGGGAAGGUUUCUUUUCUGGGAGCUGCUAUCACUGAAUACAUAAAGAAAUUGAGCCUAUAUGAUUUCAAUCUUCACCUUCUGAUGCUGAUGAAACAGGAUUCUAUGCAGUUUUCCACAGGGAGAAGCAGCAGGCUGAAGUGGCUCUUUAGGGAGACACAUACCUCCACAGGAAGAGCAGUCUAGAUUGUUUUAGCACAUUCCACUUAAGGAUUGCAGUGUGACAGCAGAGAAAAUCCUCUCCAGUCAAGUAAUUGCAUCCAUUUCAUCUUCCCAGCCCUCCUCUAGAUGGGAGGUGGAGGUGUGUGUACCAAUCUCUUAAUUCAGAAAUGAGACAAGAGGAGGAAAAAGGAGUUCCGGAGGACAGUGGGGACCCCAGCCAGAGCCUGGGGACUUGGCUGCCUUGGAACCAGAACCUGGCCCCUCAGAGGAGUUGCAGAAUUUCGAUAGAGGAGUGGCAGGAGGUGUACUGGCUGAAGAGGAGGCCCAAGGAACUCCUUUUCAUACAUCAAAACUGAGCUUAUCACCUCUACCCUGAAGUCAUCCUGGACAUCACUGGUCCCAGUUAAUCACUCACUUAUCUUUGCCAUCCUUGACCUGGGAAGAGAACGUUGCCCUCAUUGGUCUGGAAUCAGCAGGUACCUCAUGGCUGGAGGUGUAUUUUCAGGUGGGUUGGGACUUUGAAGAGGUGGCUUUUCCUAUGGACCCCUCUGACUCCCCACCUGUGGGCAUGACACAGGUGACCUGGCUGCCAGGGCAGAGGCUGCUUAGCCCUGCUCCAGAGAAACAGAGCUCUGAGGGCUUCCAGAAACCAGGGCUCCUGGCUCCUCAGUCCUUCCCACUCCUCUCUUCCUACUCCCGUGCUGCAUAUAAACUUUUCUUUUUUUUUCAGAUGGAGUCUCACUCUGUCACUCAGGCUGGAGUGCAGUGGUGCGAUCUCAGCUUACUGCAACCUCCGCCUCCCGGGUUCAAGUGAUUCUCCUGCCUCAGCUUCCCCAGUAGCAGGGACUACAGGACCACAGACUCCUUUGGCAUCUGGUGAGGCCUGUGGAUUCAUUCUCAGAAUCACAUUUUUAAAUGCACAUAAUAAAAUACAUAGAAUUGCAAAGGAAGUUAAUUAUAUUGAAAUACAGUUAUCAAAAAUAUAAAUAAAACAAGUAUGUGGUACAGUCAUAUGUGUGCUUCUUUAUUAAGUCAUUACAAAGCAAGAUCUAUUUGGAGGUCUAAUAACUGUCAUAUGCUUGAAAAAAUCCUUAACAAUCAUAAUAUAUUAAAAAAUCUGAUUUCUACUUUGGCAAAUCAUAGAUAUUGCUGAAACUGUGGUUUAUUGCCUGCAUUCAUAAUUGAAGGAAAUGCUAGAGUUCAGUGAGAAGGUUGUGAAAAUAAAGAGAGCCUUUUUUUCUCAUCAAG
rnacentral:lncRNA from 1 species